GGGGUUUUAAGUUAAUUAGACUAUUAAUUUUCAAAGUUAAAUGAAAGCACGGCUUAAAUCUUA
rnacentral:tRNA from 1 species